CCAGACGGACGACAAUACUUUACAAGUUGUAUCGUACGUGGAGUGGGCAGCAGGGAUUUUCAGUUCGUUUGUGCGCCUCCCUACCUUUUAGACCGGAGCAGAUUAGCGGAGAGACCAGGACAUUGGCUGCAUGGACAAUAUGGUAGCCAUUUGUGGCUGGAGAAUAUCUAGUGGGAGCCACGGUUGAUUUCUAAAUAUCAAAACUUUUCUAGUUAUAGCACCGAAGCAGCGUGAAGUUUUUUAAAACAGAAAUUGCGAAGAAACGGUACGGUCUAUGCCUCAAUAUAGUAUUGCGUCGCAAUUUAAAUUAUUUUGGAAAGCCCUAGCUAGUGGCCCAUACACUUUGGGUGGGGUAGUAAAGAGAUUAUAUAUAAAAGCUUGAGUGCAAUGGCUUCAGCUCAUACAAAAGGACCAUAAAAAGACUUAAAUAAGCUAAUCGAGCUAUGGGUUGCUAAUCAUUUUUUUUCAAUGAUAGGCAACAUGUUGGUGGACAAAGAGACAUCUUCGGUGAAUUCAUCAAUCUCAAUUUAUGAUAGGUGAGUGUGUCUGAAUAUGAGCAUAUGAACGACUGUGUUAGGGCAGUCCCAAUGUGCGAAACCAUCGUAGUUUUCAUAGUCUAGGAUAUUGUAUCAAGAAAUCAUCCUUCACAAUGCAACUUUUUAUCUAGAAUCUAAACAAAAAUUCAACCAAUCAUUCUGUCUUCUAGUACCAGAUUCUCUAUGCACGUAAAGGAGGCCCGGUGCCUGGUGGACUCCCUGUGCGCACUGGAUCCAGAGGAGGCCGCUGAAAACCAGUGGUUUCUCCCCAAUGCCAUUUCUCUGGUUUCUUGGUGCGUUGAUUCCCGUGAAGACUUAGUUUCCUGAGAAGGAAACCAUUUCUUAGUUGUGCGUUCUCCCUCUACAUUAAC
rnacentral:lncRNA from 1 species